AGUGAACGCUGGCGGUAGGCCUAACACAUGCAAGUCGAACGGCAGCACAGUAAGAGCUUGCUCUUACGGGUGGCGAGUGGCGGACGGGUGAGGAAUUCAUCGGAAUCUACUUUUUCGUGGGGGAUAACGUAGGGAAACUUACGCUAAUACCGCAUACGACCUACGGGUGAAGGCAGGGGAUCUUCGGACCUUGCGCGAUUGAAUGAGCCGAUGUCGGAUUAGCUAGUUGGCGGGGUAAAGGCCCACCAAGGCGACGAUCCGUAGCUGGUCUGAGAGGAUGAUCAGCCACACUGGAACUGAGACACGGUCCAGACUCCUACGGGAGGCAGCAGUGGGGAAUAUUGGACAAUGGGCGCAAGCCUGAUCCAGCCAUACCGCGUGGGUGAAGAAGGCCUUCGGGUUGUAAAGCCCUUUUGUUGGGAAAGAAAGGCAGCAGGUUAAUACCCCGCUGUUCUGACGGUACCCAAAGAAUAAGCACCGGCUAACUUCGUG
rnacentral:rRNA from 1 species